CCCAAUUCCUUUCAAACUUUGGUGAGAAACUGUGCCACCCCUUCAAGGUCCAUACCUUCCCUUGGCAGGAGCUGGAUGCUGCUGCCGGUGACUGAGCUCCUGAACCACAAACUCCUGCUACCGUGAUAUUCUGUCUUAACAGCAAGCCCAGAAACAUGGGACCCAGAGAUCAUGGACAAGACUCUCUGAAAUACUGCAGACACAGGAUAUUUACUGCUAACGGGACAGGCGAGUCCUCUGUGGGGAAUGGAUCUCCUGACCUUGUUCCAGUGGAACGCAGAAGUCGGCAGGGUCUUGCUCUGUAGCCCAGGCUGGACCCAAAACUCUUGGGCAUGCGCCACUCUGCCUGGCUGGACAGUUUCCAUUUCUCCUGGGCUCUUACGGAUCCUACCCCAUUCCCUUCCGAUGAAGAGGCUGAGCACUCUAGUUACUGAUGGCGUCCAAGUCCUCCCUCACGGAGGAGGACCGUUUACCCAGCAGAAGCAGACGAGCAACGAGAGGGUGCUGGUGUGGUUCUGGCUCUUUCCUUGUCUGCUCGCAGGCGCGGGUUCCGGAACCUUCAAGGUCACCCAUCAGCUUCAGGCCCCUGUGUGAUCCCCUCUCCAAAUAACAGUCACUCAAGGGUCCCAUGUCACUGAACUCCAUUUCAAAUGGCAGCAAGAGGCCCAAAGGAAUACUCUUCUGGGCUGUUGUUUAUUUCAAACGGGGGUCAUUGUGGGUGGGGCCUGUCUCAGUCUCUGGGCACGGAGGCGGCUCAGUACUUUUCAAGGGCACCAGCGUUCAGUUAAAAGAAGUCACUUCACCCAGGUUUUUUUUUUUUUUUUUUAAGGACUUGGCAAAUAAACUGAAGUAAAUUCGUAAAUACAUGG